GUGCUCGCUUCAGCAACACAUAUACUAAAAUUGGAAUGAUACAGAGAAGAUUAGCAUGGCCCCUGCUCAAGGAUGACAAAAAAAGAAAAAGAUAAGCAUGUA